CGUUGGUGUGUCCGUUUCGUGUCGUCGGUCGCUCUUCGUUGGAGUUCUCCUCGCAUCGUCCCGUUCCAACCCCCGCUUCUCUUAUUAGAGUCUCCGGCCGCGAUUCGAGGCAAGGAUUUGAUUCUUCUCCUCGCUCCUCUAUCGCAUCCGCUUGAUUGCUUUAGAUGGAUAGAUGAAUGCGAAAGAGUUAAUAAUCUGAAGACCAUUCUACUUCAUGUCUUUCCAGUGGUCGAUUCAAAUGUUUCCAAGUCAAAAUAUUUCUACAUGACUAUGAUCUAAAGCUUUUUGAAGAAAUUUCAGUGAAAGGUGCAAUUAAGAUCUGUUAAGACUAAGAAUGAUAUGUUAUAUUACUCGGAUGAAUGAUUGAAUUUUACUAAAUAUUAUCCAAUGUUAAAUAGGGUUA